UACGGAGGGUGCAAGCGUUAAUCGGAAUUACUGGGCGUAAAGCGCGCGUAGGCGGUUUUUUAAGUCGGAUGUGAAAGCCCCGGGCUCAACCUGGGAACUGCAUCCGAUACUGGAAGACUGGAAUGCGGGAGAGGGAGGUAGAAUUCCAUGUGUAGCAGUGAAAUGCGUAGAUAUAUGGAGGAAUACCAGUGGCGAAGGCGGCCUCCUGGCUCGACAUUGACGCUGAGGUGCGAAAGCGUGGGGAGCAAACGGG
rnacentral:rRNA from 1 species